rnacentral:misc_RNA from 1 species
UCAAACUUGGUCAUUUAGAGGAAGUAAAAGUCGUAACAAGGUUUCCGUAGGUGAACCUGCGGAAGGAUCAUCAAUAGUCCAAACUCUGUGUUUGGGUGUGUCGCGGUUCCUUUCUGCUUCCCCCAUUCACAAUCACCUUUGUGUGCACUGUUGUUAAUGUAAUGGUGGACUGGGAGUGCUGUUGUUGGGCACGGCAUGAUGAUGAUGAUGUCCGUUGUCUGGUACACCUUCCAGCCUGCCGUCAUUGCUAACACUUGACAAAACCAUGCUGAACAUUUAGCUUGUUGUUAUUGUUGUUUGAUGACUAUAUGUGACUCUCACAUAUGUCUCUUUCACAAAUAUCAUUACAACUUGCAGCGAUGGAUCUCUAGGCUCUGGCAUCGAUGAAGAACGCAGC